AUAAAUACCUGUGUGUGUGUAUUUUUGUAUUGCUUUAUCAUAGAUGCUAAAGUUAGAUGCUCAUCUGAUGUUGUUGUGUGUUGCUGAGUCAUCAAGGAUCCAGCUUAUUAUUGGCAAAUUGGACAGUACAGAAAGCGCACAAGUGCGAGAGAGAGGAGGGGACGGCAUCAGAAA